ACAGAGGCUAGAGUCAUGCUUGGGUAUUGGUUCUGUCCUUGGUGUGCCAGAGUCCUCGAAGAGUAACUGCUGACCUUAGUCACUGGCUGUGGACCUCAUGGCACAGUCAGUCAACAGGUUAGUGACAUGC
ensembl:snoRNA